rnacentral:SRP_RNA from 1 species
GCCGGGCGCGGUGGCUCAAGCCUGUAAUCCCAGCACUUUGGGAGGCCGAGACGGGAGGAUCACGAGGUCAGGAGAUCGAGACCAUCCUGGCUAACACGGUGAAACCCCGUCUCGACUAAAAAAAAAAAAAAAAAACUAGCCAGGCGAGGUGGCAGGCGCCUGCAGUNNNNNNNNNNACUGCAGGCGCCUGCCACCUCGCCUGGCUAGUUUUUUUUUUUUUUUUUUAGUCGAGACGGGGUUUCACCGUGUUAGCCAGGAUGGUCUCGAUCUCCUGACCUCGUGAUCCUCCCGUCUU